rnacentral:rRNA from 1 species
UACGAAGGGGGCUAGCGUUGCUCGGAAUCACUGGGCGUAAAGCGCACGUAGGCGGAUUUUUAAGUCAGGGGUGAAAUCCUGGAGCUCAACUCCAGAACUGCCUUUGAUACUGGGAAUCUCGAGUCCGGGAGAGGUGAGUGGAACUCCGAGUGUAGCGGUGAAAUGCGCAGAUAUCAGGAGGAACACCGGUGGCGAAGGCGGGUCUCUGGGCCGAAACUGACGCUGAGGAGCGAAAGCGUGGGGAGCAAACAGG